rnacentral:rRNA from 1 species
CCCUAGUAACGGCGAGUGAAGCGGCAACAGCUCAAAUUUGAAAUCUGGCGUAAGCCCGAGUUGUAAUUUGUAGAGGAUGCUUCUGGGUAGCGGCCGGUCUAAGUUCCUUGGAACAGGACGUCAUAGAGGGUGAGAAUCCCGUAUGUGACUGGCUUGCACCCUCCACGUAGCUCCUUCGACGAGUCGAGUUGUUUGGGAAUGCAGCUCUAAAUGGGAGGUAAAUUUCUUCUAAAGCUAAAUACCGGCCAGAGACCGAUAGCGCACAAGUAGAGUGAUCGAAAGAUGAAAAGCACUUUGGAAAGAGAGUUAAAAAGCACGUGAAAUUGUUGAAAGGGAAGCGCCCGCAACCAGACUUUGCGGCGGUGUUCGGCUGGUCUUCUGACCGGUUUACUCGCCGCCGUGAGGCCAUCAUCGUCUGGGACCGCUGGAUAAGACCUGAGGAAUGUAGCUCCCUUCGGGGUGUGUUAUAGCCUCUGGUGAUGCAGCGCGUCUCGGGCGAGGUCCGCGCUUCGGCAAGGAUGAUGGCGUAAUGGUUGUCGGCGGCCCGUCUUGAAACACGGACCAAGGAGUCUAACAUCUAUGCGAGUGUUCGGGUGUCAAACCCCUACGCGUAAUGAAAGUGAACGGAGGUGGGAACUUUUUGUGCACCAUCGACCGAUCCUGAUGUCCUCGGAUGGAUUUGAGUAAGAGCAUAGCUGUUGGGACCCGAAAGAUGGUGAACUAUGCCUGAAUAGGGUGAAGCCAGAGGAAACUCUGGUGGAGGCUCGCAGCGGUUCUGACGUGCAAAUCGAUCGUCAAAUUUGGGUAUAGGGGCGAAAGACU